GUAUGACUUCAUCUUUUAUACAGUCGGGUUCGGGGUUUCGGGCAGCCAUGGAGAAUUUUCGGCAAGAUUUUACCCCAGUGAAAAAGGCUUGUAAUCCACAGUGAUCAGCUAAGAUGUUGUUUCACUGGAUUAUUUAAUUGGGCAUAUAAUUGGAUAAUUCUGGAUCAACUGAGAUGUUAUUUCACUGGAUUAUUUAAUGGAUAGGCUUAUUGGGCAUAUAGUUGGAUAUCUCUGUCCUCAACCUGGAAGAUAUGUUUUGUUCCUAACCAUCUAUAAUCCAUUCUCUAUGAAGUUCAGACUGUCUGCUCUUCCUUUGGAAAUACACAGUUAGUCAACCAACAUAGAAACACACAAACUUGAAGGAUUCUCUAGUGAGGGCUUAUGGAAAUGAUCUAUAUCUACUCUCAGAAUGGUGAAAGACUAUCAGAUUAAGCAAAGACUAACAGAAUAUCCUCUCUUGGAACACUGAAACAAGAAAAACAAACAGGAUGGGGGAUUUAAGAAGAACAUAGAUAAAUAUGAUUUCCAACCAAUUUAUGUACGAUCAUAGACUGUGGUUUACAGGAUGACAAAGAAAGGACCCAGGAUUGUAUUUUUUACUGUCAGACACUGAGUAUGGAUAAGAUGUAGCUAUUUAUCAGACUGAGAUCUAGUCAAAUCAAGUAUUGAAAAUAUGAUUUCUGAUAGCAUGAGCUCUUUAAAAACUAAUUCUCACGGACCUCAAAGUAUCUGAAUGUGACUUUUAUUUUUACCAAUUCAUAUUGAUGACUGUUGUUAUGUAUGGGAAUUACACAUUUAAACCUUUUAUUUUUCAUCUUAUUUCUAUAACCCCCUAGAAAUUACACAGAUAUUCAGAUGCUGGAUUUAAUGUUAUUAUUUAACUUUCCUGGAAUUGUAAAUAUAUUUUGUUUGUGUAUGUAUCAUGUUUAAUUUUGAAUUUAAAAUUGGUCUCAAUAAGACCCCCAAUAAAGAUGCAAGUGUCCCAUAAUCUGUGGUUUAAUAAUAUCUUGAAUAUCUUUAUCAUACCAUAUUCAUCAUACUAAUUACAUAUAGAAUGGUUGUAGGAAUACACUUUGUUGUUUAGCACACUUUGUCAAGGUCAAAGCAUAAGAUUAUUGAGAUGACUUCUUUGACAAUAAUUUGUAACUUACAAACUUCACAUCAUAAGUACACAGAUGAAGAAUCAAUAAGAUAUUUCUAUAGAUUUUUUGGAUCAUUUACUCCUGGGUAAAAGUUAGUUACUAACUGAGAUUACUGAUUUGAGUCCUGUAAUGCAAUAACUUAAACAUUGUGUGAUAACUUAUAGACUUUAUAAAAAUUAGGUGCAAAUUCUUAGGAAAGGAUUGAAAUGUUAAUCAAAUGUACAAUGUUCAAGGGUGUUUAUAUGACUAUUACUAUGUAAUACCUUAGAAUUCUGUAAAAAUUUUAUUAUCACUGCGUAGAUAAAGACUGGUUGGAAUAAUUUAUGUUUUGAAAUAAGGUUUAGGGAAAAAAGUCAAGAAUGUGGAUAUGACUUUUAUUCAAAUGGUGCAUUACAGCAACUCUGGUGAUUUACAUACCUUCAGUCAUAAAUACAUGUAGAUAGGUAUUUGGAAGACUCCUUUAGAUUUUGAAAUUUUUAAUUCAAAAGUAUAGAAUUUAAGUUUGAAAGAUUAAAUGGCAGCAUAUCAUUUGCUUGUGAAUUAAAAAAUAAAUCCAAACAUAUACAUCUUUGGAUGAUAAUUGUAGCAUUUUAUCAAUUCCUGGACUUCGGUCUUGAUAUCAUCCUUUAAUGUCCUUAAAAUUUUAAUGACUGUCUUUUAGUUUUAGUUGAAUUAGUUUCUUUUCUACAUGUGAAAAUUACAUCAUCCAAAGAAGUUCUUCAUCUGCAUGUUAUAUGAAGAAGACAAUUUUCAUUACAGUGAAAGAGAUUGUUUUGUUAAACAUAUUACAUUGAUGCACAAAUAUACUUUUAGAUUUUUAAUAGCUAGGGUUCAUAUUUUUUUAUAUGGAAUGAUAAGUACUGUUGAUUUUUUUUUGUGAACAAAGACAUACUAGUAGAGUAAUAAAUGUAUAUGAUGUGUCAGAAAAGCAUGUGGAAACCUAAUGACUUUAUAUUUGCUGAUUAAUUCAAUUAUGAGUUUCAUCUUUGUUACAUUGUAAACAUUUCUAAGUAGGGCACACAUCAGAAACUCUUAAAAUUCUGACUAUCAGGGUUUAACACAACAAUUCCAAAUGAUUUUUGGACGCUUUUUAUGUAUCAAAAAGACAAAACAGAAUAUCUGUUCACAGAUGUUCCAAAGGAAAACAACCACAAAGAAAAGAUUUGUUAUGUUCUUUAUGUGAUUCAUGUAAAAUGUAUUUUAAAAGUGUAGCAUAACAUUCAUCUUUUGCAUAAAUACUUUUUUUUUGUGGAGAUUUUUUUAUAUUUUUGAAAAAAAGUAGUCUUAUUGUAUAUUAUGGUUAACUUAAAAUCUUGUAGGACUUAAAAGUUGUACAUGAUGUGUUACACAUCUUACAUAUGUAACCAUUUCAUUUCAGGGUAUUCAGUAUAUAUUAUGGUUUUGUCUUAAAUUUGUUUGUUCAUGUAAUCAAUAAUUUGAGAAUACUCAAAUUAGAAAAUGUAUGAGAGAAUAGGCAAGAAAAUGAGGUUAAAAAUGUUUUUACUACAAAGGGGUUAAUCUAUAUAUUUAAUCUAUAAGUACAAUCAGUCUAUACAUUUAAGGUAUUUCUGUAUGAAAUAAACUUACAUUUGAGUAUUUUAAGACAAUUGUAAACAUUAAUUUAACCAGUUUUGAAAAAAUGAUUAGAUUCACUGUCAGCAUGUUAUUUCUUGUAAAAUAAAAAGAAAACAAACAAUUUUA